rnacentral:lncRNA from 1 species
GCUCAGCCAACUUACACGGAAGGUAUACUCGAGAUAUCCUAUUUGUAAUUUCCUCUAAUAUGCUCUUGUUUCAUUAUUAAAUGCUUGAUUUUAAUUGCAGGUUUUGAGAAAAUUGUAAAAAAGUCGGUGAGGGACACAUUGAAACAAAACGACACAUUAACAAAUUUUAUGGACAAACUUGUCAUAAUGGAUGGAAAGUUGAAUAAUCUCACCCUAGCUGAUGUUCUACCAGCAGCAGAAAAUCCCACUUUUUAAAUCGCACCCUUGAAGGAAGUAGAAGAAAUCAAAGGGUUGGAACAACAAUUACUGGGCAAAGAGAAUUAUUAUCAAUUGGUCAGGUUGAUCCGUUCACUAGGAGGUGCGUCGUUAGUAACUGUUUACAAUGGGCUUGGAAAUCAGUUUUUUUCGAUCAAAGUUAUGGCCUAUGUAAACUGGGAAGGAAAAGCAAAAAAGGGAUCGAUACAAAACAUGGUCUUCAGCAUUCAAUGAUUACUACAGCCGUGUUUGAGGGUAUUCAAACCGCUUCCCGUAAGCCAAACAAAUUUGAAAUGGAAAAUGAUACAAGGAAAAUAAUGAAGGGAAUCCCAGAUAAAUACCGAAGCAUACGUUUAACAGAAAAUCAAGAUGGAAUGGAUGUCGACCACGGAC